rnacentral:snRNA from 1 species
AAUGUUGAACAUUUGAGC